rnacentral:lncRNA from 1 species
GUCGUGAGUCUCAGAGAGUUUGAUGUGGAGAAGACUGAUCGCUCAACCCUUCUGGCUCGGGCCAAGCUUGAUCAUUUCAGUACGUAACGCACCCAGCGACCACUUGAGAAGGGAUGUGUCCCUCGAUCCACUUCUCUCGACGCCCAGCCUACAAACCAUGACCCGCGAAGCUUCAAUCGAUCGAGACACACGAAUAAAACUGCUCGAGCCAGCACUCUCGAUCCCAGACUUCAACUUUCCAGCCCGACCAGCCUGAAUGGGCCGCUUAAAGAAUCUGAAUGCUCGAUGGUGUCCUCUCGGUUCGACCAGCCGCUCCGACGAGGAGAAGAGAGGAGUAUGCGCGACGGCGAGACAAGAAGCUCCGACUUGUACGCGGGAGAGACGAAGGCAAGCAGCUGCAGUGGUCGCGACGGAGGAGCUGGUGCAGCGGCGAAGCCCGAGCUCGAGACGCAAGCGCGAGGAAGAAGAAGAAGCUAAACGCGUUUGGCUCAAAACACCAAACGCCAGACGCGGUUUUGCCCUGGUCGCAGCGUUUUGUUAAAACUGCGUUUGACCUUUAUUUUAAUGACCUAUAAAUACCCCUGUUCGGAACUACGCUAGGCGCUAGUCGGGCGGUGAUCCCGGGCCUAGCGAGUUACCAGAAAAUCGGGGAUUAAUCGGGGUAUACGCGGGGCCUAG